UAAACACUCCGAAGCCACAUUGUU
rnacentral:miRNA from 1 species